AACGAACGCUGGCGGCAGGCCUAACACAUGCAAGUCGAGCGCGCCCUUCGGAGUGAGCUGCGGACGGGUGAGUAACGCGUGGGAACGUGCCCUUUUCUACGGAAUAGCCUCGGGAAACUGAGAGUAAUACCGUAUACGCCCUUUGGGGGUAAGAUUUAUCGGAAAAGGAUCGGCCCGCGUUGGAUUAGGUAGUUGGUGGGGUAAUGGCCUACCAAGCCGAUGAUCCAUAGCUGGUUUGAGAGGAUGAUCAGCCACACUGGGACUGAGACACGGCCCAGAAUCCUACGGGAGGGAGGAGUGGGGAAUCUUAGACAAUGGGGGCAAACCUGAUCUAGCCAUGCCGGGUGAGUGAUGAAGGCCUUAGGGUUGUAAAGCUCUUUCAGCUGGGAAGAUAAUGACGGUACCAGCAGAAGAAGCCCCGGCUAACUCCGUG
rnacentral:rRNA from 1 species